rnacentral:misc_RNA from 1 species
UAAUAAGUGUUUUAUGGCACUUUUUAAAUCCAUAUCCACCUUGUGUGCAAUGUCAGGUCGAUCUCUUUCUUGAGAUCGACCAAACAUCAACCUUUAUCUUUUAACUCUUUGUCUGAAAAAUAUUAUGAAUAAACAAUUCAAAAUA